rnacentral:rRNA from 1 species
AUGAACGCUAGCUACAGGCUUAACACAUGCAAGUCGAGGGGCAGCAUCAUCAAAGCUUGCUUUGAUGGAUGGCGACCGGCGCACGGGUGAGUAACACGUAUCCAACCUGCCGACAACACUGGGAUAGCCUUUCGAAAGAAAGAUUAAUACCGGAUGGCAUAGUUUUCCCGCAUGGGAUAAUUAUUAAAGAAUUUCGGUUGUCGAUGGGGAUGCGUUCCAUUAGGCAGUUGGCGGGGUAACGGCCCACCAAACCAACGAUGGAUAGGGGUUCUGAGAGGAAGGUCCCCCACAUUGGAACUGAGACACGGUCCAAACUCCUACGGGAGGCAGCAGUGAGGAAUAUUGGUCAAUGGACGAGAGUCUGAACCAGCCAAGUAGCGUGAAGGAUGACUGCCCUAUGGGUUGUAAACUUCUUUUAUACGGGAAUAAAGUGAGCCACGUGUGGCUUUUUGUAUGUACCGUAUGAAUAAGGAUCGGCUAACUCCGUGCCAGCAGCCGCGGUAAUACGGAGGAUCCGAGCGUUAUCCGGAUUUAUUGGGUUUAAAGGGAGCGUAGGCGGGUUGUUAAGUCAGUUGUGAAAGUUUGCGGCUCAACCGUAAAAUUGCAGUUGAUACUGGCGACCUUGAGUGCAACAGAGGUAGGCGGAAUUCGUGGUGUAGCGGUGAAAUGCUUAGAUAUCACGAAGAACUCCGAUUGCGAAGGCAGCUUACUGGAUUGUAACUGACGCUGAUGCUCGAAAGUGUGGGUAUCAAACAGGAUUAGAUACCCUGGUAGUCCACGCCGUAAACGAUGAAUACUAGGUGUCGGGGCCGUAUAGGCUUCGGUGCCGCCGCAAACGCAGUAAGUAUUCCACCUGGGGAGUACGUUCGCAAGAAUGAAACUCAAAGGAAUUGACGGGGGCCCGCACAAGCGGAGGAACAUGUGGUUUAAUUCGAUGAUACGCGAGGAACCUUACCCGGGCUUGAAUUGCAACUGAAUGAUGUGGAGACAUGUCAGCCGCAAGGCAGUUGUGAAGGUGCUGCAUGGUUGUCGUCAGCUCGUGCCGUGAGGUGUCGGCUUAAGUGCCAUAACGAGCGCAACCCUUACGGGUAGUUACCAUCAGGUUAUGCUGGGGACUCUACCCGGACUGCCGUCGUAAGAUGUGAGGAAGGUGGGGAUGACGUCAAAUCAGCACGGCCCUUACGUCCGGGGCUACACACGUGUUACAAUGGGGGGUACAGAAGGCAGCUACACGGCGACGUGGUGCUAAUCCCAAAAGCCUCUCUCAGUUCGGAUUGGAGUCUGCAACCCGACUCCAUGAAGCUGGAUUCGCUAGUAAUCGCGCAUCAGCCACGGCGCGGUGAAUACGUUCCCGGGCCUUGUACACACCGCCCGUCAAGCCAUGAAAGCCGGGGGUACCUGAAGUACGUAACCGCGAGGAGCGUCCUAGGGUAAAACUGGUGAUUGGGGCU